rnacentral:rRNA from 1 species
CCUACGGGAGGCAGCAGUGAGGAAUAUUGGUCAAUGGGCUUACGCCUGAACCAGCCAAGUCGCGUGAGGGAAGACUGCCCUAUGGGUUGUAAACCUCUUUUGUCAGGGAGCAAUUUGCGCUACGUGUAGCGUUAUCGAUAGUACCUGAAGAAAAAGCAUCGGCAAACUCCGUGCCAGCAGCCGCGGUAAUACGUAGGAUGCGAGCGUUAUCCGGAUUUAUUGGGUUUAAAGGGUGCGUAGGCGGAAUGCCAAGUCAGCGGUAAAAUCGCGGGGCUCAAGCUCGCUCCGCCGUUGAAACUGGCGUUCUUGAGUGGGCGAGAAGUAUGCGGAAUGCGUGGUGUAGCGGUGAAAUGCAUAGAUAUCACGCAGAACUCCGAUUGCGAAGGCAGCUUACUAAACUAUAACUGACACUGAAGCACGAAAGCGUGGGGAUCAAACAGGAGUAGAUACCCCAGUAGUC